rnacentral:lncRNA from 1 species
UCGCGUCCUCCCCGCGCGGCGGACAGCCCGGGCGCCCUUCCUCUCUGCGGGACUGCAGCUGACAAGUUUAUUUAAUCCCUGAACCUGGAUCCAAGGCAUCUCCCUGUAGAAAACAUCAGACCGGGGCAGAGAUUGACAAAGCAACCCAAAGCAGCAGCUGCCAACGGCCGCUGUGCCCACCUCAUCAGCAGCUAAAGAGUAUAAUUUUAAAAAAAGUCACAGAAGAAUGUGGAGACACUUAGCAAAACGGACUCUCAUAAGAGGUUCCCUAUUUUGUCAGUAAGGAAGUAAACAACCGCUAAAACAACCCUCUAACAACAGAAGACCCUCAUGAGAACACCAGGCAGCAGAAGCUUCUUUAGCAGUAAAAGAUAUCUGGAUAUUCAUAUUUUGUUCCAUGAUCUUCAACAUUAAAUAAAUAAACUUAAUAUUC